AUGGUGUGCCUGCCAUACUUUAUUUUGGGCCGUCAGAUCUGCAUCGAACGCAUGGGAGGCAACCACGCCUUACUCUCUUGGUUUAGCUCCAUUCCUCACCUUAUCCAAGCCAAGCACUGGAUCCUUCACGAAAAAGAAAGAAAACACUGGAACCGAAGAGGGCAGCGGCCACUGCCGCACACCGCCGGCGCCGCCGGCGCCGUCCGCCCCCGAUUCCGCGAUGCCCCUCUUACCUUCUCCUCUGACGCAGUUGCGCCGCCGCCCACCAUCUGCCCCUCGUUCCCCGCGUCUCCUCCUCCCCCCGCCCCAUCUCCUCCCGUCCCCCGACGCCUACGUUGGCGAGUACACCGCCGGCACAUUCCGUCCCCCGAUCGAGUCCGCGACGCCACUCCCGCCUCCUCCUCUGAUGCAGAAACCCGGCUGCCCACCACCUCCCCCCUCCUACUGGCCGGCUCCUCGGGUCCUCCUCCACGCUCUACUCAUCCUCAGCGGCGCCGGCGCCAGCUUCCCUGCCGACGCGCUCCACGGCCGUCCUCUUUGCGCACGCGCUGGUCCACACCCACGUCCUCCUUCAGUCGACCCCGUCUCAGAUACAACUGGUCUGGUGUGAUGGUUGACAUGGGGUACUAUGCCUCUGCUUCCCAACCCGUCCCGCCUCCCAAGUUCAAUUUUUGUGUCCUUACAGUUCAAAUCCGCGCGCCCAGUUCGAACUGUCCAGAAACCAGUCCUGCAGCCCAGUAUAAAUAA
rnacentral:rRNA from 1 species